rnacentral:rRNA from 1 species
GUCUUUUUGGAGUUAAAAAAAGUCAAGCCUGCCCGCUGAUGAGUAUUUUAAGGGCCGCGGUAUUUUGACCGUGCGAAGGUAGCGUAGUCACUAGGUUUUUAAUUGGAAUCUUGUAUGAAUGGUUAGACAAGGGAAAAUCUGUCUCUUUAUUAAAUAUUGAAUUUAACUUUUAAGUGAAAAGGCUUAAAUAAAUUUAAGGGACGAUAAGACCCUAUAAAGCUUAAUAUAAAAUAUCAUUUAACUAAAUUUGAGUAUAAAAGUUUUAUGGUAUAAUUUAUUUUAUUGGGGUGAUAAAGGUAAAAUGAUUGUUAACUGCUUUUAUGAAGAAACAUUUAUAGUUGAAAUAAAUUUGUAAUAGAUCCUAGAUGAAGAUUAAAAGUUCAAGUUACUUUAGGGAUAACAGCGUUAUUUUUUUUGAGAGUACAUAUCGAAAAAAGAGUUUGCGACCUCGAUGUUGAAUUAAAAUUUCUCUAUAGAAGCAGAAACUAUAGAAGUUGGUCUGUUCGACCCUUAAAAUUUUACAUGAUUUGAGUUCAAACCGGCGUGAG